GGUUUCUUGUUUAUAUUUAUAGGAAAUUUGACCUGCCCACUGAAAUUAUUUAAAGGGCCGCAGUAUACUGACUGUGCAAAGGUAGCAUAAUCAUUAGUCUUUUAAAUAAAGGCUUGUAUGAAUGGUUGGACGAGGUAAAUUCUGUUUUAUAUUAAUAUAUUGAAAUUAUAUUUUAAGUAAAAAUACUUAAAUAUAAUUAAGGGACGAGAAGACCCUAUAGAGUUUUAUAAUUAAUAAAUUUAUCAAGUUUGAAAUUAUUUAUUGAUUAUUUUAGUAAUUAUUUAAUUGGGGUGAUUAGAGGAUAAAAUAAACUCUUUUUUAAUUUUUAAAUAUAUUAUGAAUAGAUUGUUUGAUCCAUUAAAAGUGAUUAAAAGAUUAAAUUACCUUAGGGAUAACAGCAUAAUUCUUUUUGAGAGUUCUUAUCGAAAGAAGGGGUUAUGACCUCGAUGUUGGAUUAAGAUUUAAUUUGGGUGUAGAUGUUCAAGGGAUUAGGUCUGUUCGACCUUAAAAAUCUUACA
rnacentral:rRNA from 1 species